rnacentral:rRNA from 1 species
UACCAGCACCCCGAGUGGUCGGGACGAUUAUUGGGCCUAAAGCAUCCGUAGCCGGUUCUGCAAGUCUCCCGUUAAAUCCACCUGCUCAACAGAUGGGCUGCGGGAGAUACUACAGAGCUAGGAGGCGGGAGAGGCAAGCGGUACUCAGUGGGUAGGGGUAAAAUCCGUUGAUCCAUUGAAGACCACCAGUGGCGAAGGCGGCUUGCCAGAACGCGCUCGACGGUGAGGGAUGAAAGCUGGGGGAGCAAACCGGAUUAGAUACCCGGGUAGUCCCAGCUGUAAACGAUGCAGACUCGGUGAUGAAUAGACUUAGUGUUUAUUCAGUGCCGCAGGGAAGCCGUUAAGUCUGCCGCCUGGGGAGUACGGUCGCAAGACUGAAACUUAAAUGAAUUGACGG